UCCCGGAGACCCUUUAGAGAUAAAGCGGAGGUAUUCGGGGAGGACAGGUGGUGCAUGGUUGUCGUCAGCUCGUGUCGUGAGAUGUGGGUUAAGUCCCGCAACGAGCGCAACCCCUAUUGCUAGUUACCAUCAUUAAGUUGGGGACUCUAGCGAGACUGCCAGUGAUAAACUGGAGGAAGGUGGGGAUGACGUCAAAUCAUCAUGCCCCUUAUGACCUGGGCUACAAACGUGAUACAAUGGCUGGAACAAAGGGAUGCGAAGCAGUGAUGUGGAGCGAAACCCAUAAAAACAGUCUCAGUUCGGAUUGAAGUCUGCAACUCGACUUCAUGAAGUCGGAAUCGCUAGUAAUCGCGGAUCAGAACGCCGCGGUGAAUACGUUCUCGGGGUUU
rnacentral:rRNA from 1 species